AUGCAUUCGCCACCCGCGUCCAUCUUCCGGUUCUCGUCCACUCUCCGCGCCGCCACCAUCGCCCAGUGCCAUAUCCCUGACAAUGCUGUCGAAAUGCUUCGAUUUCCGCAGCUCCAGAAACUUGAACUUGUGGAGGCCAAAAUCUCAGAGGGCUCGCUGGCCAGCCUUAUCACCUCCGGCUGCCCUGCACUGGAAAGCUUGCUGCUUAAAACUUGUGGAAGUUUCCAUAUCCGUGGUCUCAGGAUCAACUCCCCUACCCUUAAAUUUAUAGGUGUUUUUUCCAUGUUUGUAGAACUCAUCAUUGAGGAUGCUCCUUCACUUGAAAGGUUGCUCCAUAUUAUACUUCAUGUGAAAAUGCGACUGACAGUAAUCUCCGCACCUAAAUUGGAGAUGUUGGGUUAUAUUUCUGAAUAUGCAGACUCCAAAAUGACGUUUGGCUCCACAUCUAUUCAGGAUUUGCGCAUUGAUAGUCUGACAACUGUGGUGCGUACUAUCAAGACCCUAGCUAUCCAUUCGAAUUUUAAUCUCCAUAUGGUUAUUGACUUGAUGAGAUGCUUUCCAUGCUUGGAGAAUUUGUAUAUGAAGAUUCCGAAAUCUACAGCAGGGGUAGCAAACUCGUGGCGUCGUAAACACCGGGAUUUUCUCACAUCUCAUGAUAUUCGCUUGAAGACGAUAUUUCUGGGAUAUUAUCAAGGCAUCCGGGCACAUGUCGACUUUGUCACAUUCUUUGUACUGAAUGCAAAAGCGCUAGAGUCCAUCAGACUCGAGGUUGGUUCCAGGGAUUACAAUGAGAGGUACUUCGCAGAACAACAUAGUGUGCUUCAGAUGGAGAAGAGGGAUUCUAGAGGUGCUCGACUUUGCUUCAAAACACCUUGUGACUAUGAUGCUCCACAUGUCAUGCAUGUCGGUGAUUUAGAUUCACCCGAUCCCUUCGCAUGUGGAUGUUGA
rnacentral:rRNA from 1 species